UGGGGGAUAUUGCACAAUGGGCGAAAGCCUGAUGCAGCGACGCCGCGUGGGGGAUGAAGGCUUUCGGGUUGUAAACCUCUUUCGCUAUCGAACAAGGCCCGCUUAGGGUGGGUUGAGGGUAGGUGGAGAAGAAGCGCCGGCUAACUACGUGCCAGCAACCGCGGUAAUACGUAGGGCGCGAGCGUUGUCCGGAAUUAUUGGGCGUAAAGGGCUUGUAGGCGGCUUGUUGCGCCUGCUGUGAAAACGCGGGGCUUAACUUCGCGCGUGCAGUGGGUACGGGCAGGCUUGAGUGUGGUAGGGGUGACUGGAAUUCCAGGUGUAGCGGUGGAAUGCGCAGAUAUCUGGAGGAACACCGAUGGCGAAGGCAGGUCACUGGGCCAUUACUGACGCUGAGGAGCGAAAGCAUGGGUAGCGUACAGG
rnacentral:rRNA from 1 species